AUGAACGCUGGCGGCGUGCCUAAUACAUGCAAGUCGAGCGAACAGACGAGGAGCUUGCUCCUCUGAUGUUAGCGGCGGACGGGUGAGUAACACGUGGAUAACCUACCUAUAAGACUGGGAUAACUUCGGGAAACCGGAGCUAAUACCGGAUAACAUGUUGAACCGCAUGGUUCAACAGUGAAAGACGGUCUUGCUGUCACUUAUAGAUGGAUCCGCGCCGCAUUAGCUAGUUGGUAAGGUAACGGCUUACCAAGGCAACGAUGCGUAGCCGACCUGAGAGGGUGAUCGGCCACACUGGAACUGAGACACGGUCCAGACUCCUACGGGAGGCAGCAGUAGGGAAUCUUCCGCAAUGGGCGAAAGCCUGACGGAGCAACGCCGCGUGAGUGAAGAAGGUCCUCGGAUCGUAAAACUCUGUUAUUAGGGAAGAACAAAUGUGUAAGUAACUAUGCACGUCUUGACGGUACCUAAUCAGAAAGCCACGGCUAACUACGUG
rnacentral:rRNA from 1 species